UACAGAGGUCCCGAGCGUUGUUCGGAUUCAUUGGGCGUAAAGGGUGCGUAGGCGGUUUCCUAAGUUUGAUGUGAAAUCCCGGGGCUUAACCCUGGAAUUGCAUUGAAUACUGGGAGACUAGAGUACUGGAGAGGAAACUGGAAUUUACGGUGUAGCAGUGAAAUGCGUAGAGAUCGUAAGGAAGACCAGUGGCGAAGGCGGCUUUCUGGACGGUAACUGACGCUGAGACGCGAAAGCGUGGGGAGCAAACAGG
rnacentral:rRNA from 1 species